AACACUUGUGGUUGGAUGGGAGAAAAAAAAAAAUCUGGGUCAGACCUGGGGUUGAUAAAGCUGAAAACUACUAGUCUCUAUGGAAACGCAAGCUCCACCCCCUCCCCCUACGCCCCGGCUUCCUCUCGCCUGAAGCAGAAGCCAGCACCUACAACGGGCAGCAUGCACUCAGGAGAGAGUGAGCCGGAGGUAGACAGAGAGACUCUCACAUGCAGAAAAAGAAAAGGAUGGAGGGUGAAGAGACAUCCUCUGUGGUCUGUUUAUCUAGAUCUGCACGCGCACAAAGCAACUCUGCUUCCCUGCAGACAAACAACAGUGCUGCUAUGAAAAUAUUAGGGCUUUAAAAUGUAGUAGUAACAUAUCAGCCGUAAUGUUCAACUUGUCCUAUUUCAGCUUUCCCUCUGGAGGGAAGUCAGGGGUCACGGCCGGCUACAUAACCAGCUGUCAGCUGAAGACUUAACAAACAUGGCUCCUGAUAUUGACUCCUACCAUGUGCGGCCUCUGACAUCUGACCUUCCUACAGGAGGGGACGAGAGGCAACGGGAAACCAGUUCAAAGGGAGAACAAAGCCGAGCCUCGGUUGUCUGUGUGCAGUAAGAAAACAAAAUCACACUUGGAUAAGGAUCAGCGUCCUGACCUCCAGCUCCUCCCAGGUGGUUGGGGAUUAGGGUGCAGUUUAAUGUAUUAGACUUCCAGUUGAGCUAAUGCACGGUACUUAACUACCAUUCCAAAUCAGAGCUCUUGAUCUCGACUAUAUUGGUUCCUCAUUGACCUGCAUCGCUGCCUCACGGGGGGCGGGGCAACACAAGGACACGGGGGCCUGGAGCAGGGCAGGCAGAUGUAGCCUCAUGAAUUCAGUGUCGUGGUUGUCUCUUUACAUUUAAUGACCUGACUUUUCCUCAAAUGAAAUACGUGUGUGUGAUGGACCUGCUCCUCCAGCCUGAUGAACAACUGAAACCUGAAGGAUUGCAGCUUUGGUUUUGAAAUUAUUAGCCGGGAUUAGUCUGAUUAAGGAGUUGGGAAAUUGUCCUGCCCUCACAAUAGCAACGAUGCAUUCAUUUGUUAUUUUACAUUCUUAUAUAUUAACUUAACAAUGACAGGUUGACGACAUAAUUUAAUUAACUUAAUUAAUUAAUUUCUUUAGCCCUUCAGGCUAUUAUCAGGACCUCUUUUAUCAAAGGAGGAGAUGAAGGCAGGAUAAUAGGAUAAUAGCUCAAGACCGACCCCUGGUUAAAGGUUGCUGAGAAUAAAGACUGAACACAGAGAACAGAACAACUUUGAAACAAGGUUAUUAGUGUGUUUUUUUAAACCACUUAACACUCUGAAACACUUCUCACAGCCUGAGCACCUCUGCAGUGGUUGGUUUGUGAAGAUCAACACGUCUUUCAUUGGUCUACGGGGAAUGAACAGACGCAUGCAAAAAACUGCCGACUAAUAUGUUAAAAAGAUCUAGAUGUGGGUUGUUC